rnacentral:rRNA from 1 species
UACGUAGGGGGCGCGCGUUGUCCGGAAUCAUUGGGUGUAAAGCGCGUGUAGGCGGCCCGGUAAGUCCGCUGUGAAAGUCCAGGGCUCAACCCUGGGAUGCCGGUGGAUACUGUCGGGCUCGAGUCCGGAAGAGGCGAGUGGAAUUCCUGGUGUAGCGGUGAAAUGCGCAGAUAUCAGGAGGAACACCAAUGGCGAAGGCAGCUCGCUGGGACGUGACUGACGCUGAGACGCGAAAGCGUGGGGAGCAAACAGG